CUACGGGCGGCAGCAGCUAAGAAUCUUCCGCAAUGGACGAAAGUCUGACGGAGCGACGCCGCGUGAACGAUGAAGGCCGUGAGGUUGUAAAGUUCUUUUCCGAGGGGAGAAUAAGGAUGGCAGGGAAUGGCCGUUUGAUGACGUGAACUCGGGAAUAAGCCCCGGCUAACUACGUGCCAGCAGCCGCGGUAACACGUAGGGGGCGAGCGUUGUUCGGAAUCAUUGGGCGUAAAGGGUGCGCAGGCGGUGAUGCAAGUCUGGUGUGAAAGAUCUCGGCUCAACCGAGGGACCGCGCUGGAAACUGUGUUACUAGAGUACAGGAGGGGGAGUCGGAAUUCCAGGUGUAGGGGUGAAAUCUGUAGAUAUCUGGAAGAACACCGGUGGCGAAGGCGAACUUCUGGCCAUGUACUGACGCUGAGGCACGAAGGCGUGGGGAGCAAACAGGAUUAGAUACCCUCGUAGUC
rnacentral:rRNA from 1 species